AACUUGCGGAGGGAUCAUUACUGAGUUUACAACUCCCAGACUCAAUGUGAACGUUACCAAACUGUUGCCUCGGCGGGAUGUCUGCCCCGGGUGCGUCGCAGCCCCGGACCAAGGCGCCCGCCGGAGGACCAACCAAAACUCUUAUUGUAUACCCCCUCGCGGGUUUUUUUAUAAUCUGAGCCUUCUCGGCGCCUCUCGUAGGCGUUUCGAAAAUGAAUCAAAACUUUCAACAACGGAUCUCUUGGUUCUGGCAUCGAUGAAGAACGCAGCGAAAUGCGAUAAGUAAUGUGAAUUGCAGAAUUCAGUGAAUCAUCGAAUCUUUGAACGCACAUUGCGCCCGCCAGUAUUCUGGCGGGCAUGCCUGUCCGAGCGUCAUUUCAACCCUCGAACCCCUCCGGGGGGUCGGCGUUGGGGAUCGGCCCUGCCUUGGCGGUGGCCGUCUCCGAAAUACAGUGGCGGUCUCGCCGCAGCCUCUCCUGCGCAGUAGUUUGCACACUCGCAUCGGGAGCGCGGCGCGUCCACAGCCGUUAAACACCCAACUUCUGAAAUGUGACCUCGGAUC
rnacentral:rRNA from 1 species